rnacentral:lncRNA from 1 species
GAUUUAUGUAAGGUCAUGGAAAUAGCAUUUCCCAAAUAAAGCAUUUAGCUGAUGGACUUUUAUCUGUACACAUUAGGGUUGUACAAGAGCUGAUCAAUAUAUCCCACUAAGAAAAGGAGAGCAGUGUUAGCCUGGCAAAUUUGAAUCCUGAAGGCAAAUAAGUAAAUACCUCUGGAGAUGAGAGGAGAUAAGGUUGCAGAGGUGAAGAAGAAUAGGACAAAGGACAGAACUGUCAGGAACAGCAGGGCACAGCAUGACGAAGAGGUGAUGGCAAAGGGGAAGACCACUGAGGUUCGAGAACCUGAGCUCAGCACAUAGGCUGCGAAGGAGAGCUGCAAGGAAAAAGGUCUCAGGUAGGGAAUAAAACCCAGGAAGAAUGAGGAUCAAGAACAGAUGACUGUGUCUGGAAGUCAAAAGCUCCCUGUGACCUUCAGAAAACUAGCUCCAGGAACUGGUGGGAAGCAGAAGCCAGCCCGUAAGGACAUGAAGAAGGCUCUUUCUAUGAAACUAGUGCCCAUCACAAACAGGAUGGAACUGAGCACCCACCACACGUCCAGAACACAUGUCACCGUUUCGCGACUACAUGGAAACCUGACCGCUAGCACUGAUCCAAUCUAUAGGAGUCUGUGUAAAUAGCAGCUGUGCAGCUGGACUCUGCCUCCACUCCUCAGAAAGUCGAUGUUCUCGCUAGCCCAGAUUGGAUUUCUGCAUAUAAUCUCCAUGCCUUGCAUGCUGUGAUAUAUCUUUAUACUCAAAGAAUUGUACACUUUUCAUUUUGAACAUGAAAUAACAUCCAGACUCUCACUGGAAGACUCCUGGCCGACUAGAGCACCACCUGUUCUUGAUAUUUUUUCACCCAAUUAAGCAUUUAAAUUGUUUCUCAUCUAAACUGGAUUUGCUUUUAUUAUUUUUUCCUUGCCAUUUUUCUUUGCCACAGCCAUCAACAAUACCUAGCAAACAACUGCUUAAUGUGCUACGGAAACAAAAGUGCGGUUGUGCGGAAGUGGAAACGAGAGGGGAUGGGGUGGAGCGGAGAGAAGGCGAGCUGGAACCCGGGGCUGACUUGCAUCAGGGGACCUUGGUCAGGUGAUAUUCUCCUACGAAAGAAAGACUCCCACUGGCCUUCUCCCGUGGCUUUACCAACCACACUGGCAUAUCCUCUGUCAUACCUGCCACUGAGCCGUAUCUUAAACAAUAUGGCACGGAUGUAA